rnacentral:rRNA from 1 species
UACGUAGGGUCCGAGCGUUGUCCGGAAUUACUGGGCGUAAAGAGCUCGUAGGUGGUUUGUCGCGUUGUCCGUGAAAACUCACAGCUCAACUGUGGGCGUGCGGGCGAUACGGGCAGACUGGAGUACUGCAGGGGAGACUGGAAUUCCUGGUGUAGCGGUGGAAUGCGCGGAUAUCAGGAGGAACACCGGUGGCGAAGGCGGGUCUCUGGGCAGUAACUGACGCUGAGGAGCGAAAGCGUGGGGAGCGAACAGG